GGGCCCGUAGUCUAGCCUGGAUAGGACACAAGCCUGCGGAGCUUGCGGCCCGGGUUCGAAUCCCGGCGGGCCCGCCA
rnacentral:tRNA from 1 species